UUAAGUUCAGCGGGUAUCCCUACCUGAUCCGAGGUCAACCAUAGAAAAUUGGGGGUUGCUGGCUAGCGGCCACCGGAACCCAACAGCGAGAAGAAUUACUACGCUGAGGGACACGAUGGCGCCGCCACUAAGUUUGAGGCCCGCCGUUGCCGGCGCGGCCCAAUACCAAGCAGAGCUUGAGGGUUGAAAUGACGCUCGAA
rnacentral:misc_RNA from 1 species